rnacentral:misc_RNA from 1 species
AUGAAAAAUAUACUUCUCUUUUGGUUGCUCCUCAUAGCAACCAUUAAUUGUGUUGGCUUCUGCUAUGCAGCUUGCAUUCUGAGCAAGAAGGAAGCCCUUUCGAAGUUCAAGCAUCAUCUUUCCAAUCCUUCAAACCCGCUCUUAUAUUCGGGUGGAGACUGCUGCGGAAUGGAGUCAUCUGCGACUACUAAACCACCCUGUUUGAUAAUAAAUUUGACUUUCGAUAAAAAAGCUGUGCAAAAACUCGCACUUUGAAGAAUAUGUUGUACUAUACGGAUCCAAACGCUGAAUAAUUACUCUUUUAUGAAGUUGCGUCUGUCUCGUUUAUUAUGGAUCAAUGGUUCAUCAACUGGAGCUCUCUAGAGUUAUUGUUAGUGAAGGUUGUUCAGUUUAUCCAAGAAACAGAAAAU